ACCUAACUGACGAGUUCAAGUAGAACGAAACGCGCGUCAUGGAU
rnacentral:hammerhead_ribozyme from 1 species